rnacentral:rRNA from 1 species
UACGAAGGGGGCUAGCGUUGCUCGGAAUCACUGGGCGUAAAGCGCACGUAGGCGGCUUGUUAAGUCAGGGGUGAAAUCCUGGAGCUCAACUCCAGAACUGCCUUUGAUACUGGCGAGCUUGAGUUCGGGAGAGGUGAGUGGAACUGCGAGUGUAGAGGUGAAAUUCGUAGAUAUUCGCAAGAACACCAGUGGCGAAGGCGGCUCACUGGCCCGAUACUGACGCUGAGGUACGAAAGCGUGGGGAGCAAACAGG